rnacentral:lncRNA from 1 species
UUUUCCUUGUGAUUCCGUUUGUAUGUUUUCCAUCAACCUUCAAGUUCACCGAUUCUCUCUUCAGCUGUGUUGAAUCUACUCAUGGGCCCAUCAAAAGCAUAUUAUUUUUUUCUAUCUUGCCACUUUUUCUUUUACAUUUCCAUUUCCCUCCACUGAAGUGUCUCUCUGCUGAAAUUCUUCAUCUAUUUAAGCAUGUGGUCCACCAGAGCCCACUGUUGAUAGAUUUGUCUCUUGAUGAAGGGCUUUUUUUUAAAACUUUGUUUAUUUUUACGUGGUGCUGAGGAUCGAACCCAGGGCCUCACACGUGAGAGGCGAGUGCUCUGCCACUGAGCCACAGCCCAGCCCAAUGGGUUUUGCUUGCUGUUUUAUCUUGCAGGUUUGGGUUGAAGGCUAGACCUGCAGAAGAGCAAAGACUGAAGAAAUGUGCCUGUCUUCCUCCUGCAGUCCCUUAGGGUGAGGGUUUGAGUCAUCUAGGGAGGAAUCCAGCUGGGUUUGGAUUUUGAAGUCACUGUUUACUUUUAGUGGCUUCAAGUUCCCCUGGUGCUAUGCUCUUGAGUGACUCUUGCGUUUAGAGAUGUGGCCUACGGAAGUUGCUAUGGGAUAAGGUCAUUAGAGAUCCUGUGACUGAAUCCUGGUGGCUUUAUGAGAGGGAGAGAGACCAGAAUAGACACAUGUUCCUGCUGUGUGCUGCCUCAGGACUCUGCCAGGGAGACCAUCAGCAGAUUCAAGCCCAAGAACCUUGAGAACUGAGAGAUAAAUAAAAAUCUCUUUUCUUUACAACAAACCCAGUCUGUGGCAUGGUGUACUAGCAACGGAAAACAGACAGAGACACUCUUGCAGCAGUCCCCUGAGUUCCACACCCAGCCUGCCCUACACCCAGCCCUUAGCA